AGAGCGCAGGGUGGAUGCCUUGGCACUAAGAGCCGAAGAAAGACGUGAUAAGCUGCGAAAAGCUGCGGGGAGAUGCAAAUAAUCCUUGAUCCGCAGAUGUCUGAAUGGGGAAACCCGGUACGAAGAACUCGUAUCAUCCAUACGCCAAUCCAUAACGUAUGGAGGGGAACCCGGUGAACUGAAACAUCUAAGUAGCCGGAGGAAGAGAAAGAAACAUCGAUUUUGUUAGUAGCGGCGAGCGAAAGCGAAAGAGGCCAAACCGGAGUGCGUGCACUCCGGGGUUCGGACCGCAUUUAAGAUUCAGUGAUUCUAGCAGAAAGGUUUGGGAAAGCCUGCCGGAGAGGGUGAAAGCCCCGUAAGCGAAAGGAAAGCUGACUGAGCGGGAUCCAGAGUACAUCGAGACACGAGAAACCUUGAUGGAAUGAGCGGGGACCACCCCGUAAGCCUAAAUACUACUUAGUGACCGAUAGCGCAUAGUACUGUGAAGGAAAGGUGAAAAGGACCCCGGGAGGGGAGUGAAAGAGAACCUGAAACCCUGUGUUUACAAGCUGUGGAAGUUCUUUUAAAUGAACAACCGCGUACUUUUUUGUAGAACGGUCCGGCGAGUUGCGGACACUGGCAAGGUUAAGCACUUAAGGUGCGGAGCCGAAGGGAUACCAAGUCUUAACAGGGCGUAAAGUCAGUGUACGCAGACCCGAAACCGGGUGAUCUAUCCAUGUCCAGGUUGAAGCCGCCGUAAAAGGCGAUGGAGGACCGAACCCACAUCCGUUGAAAAGGGUGGGGAUGAGGUGUGGAUAGGGGAGAAAUUCCAAUCGAACCCGGAGAUAGCUGGUUCUCCUCGAAAUAGCUUUAGGGCUAGCCUCGAUUUAGUCUUAUGGAGGUAGAGCACUGAAUUUCCGCGGGGGCGUCAAAGCUUACCAAAGAAUAUCAAACUCCGAAUGCCAUGUAGAUGAUGAUCGGGAGUCAGACUGCACGAGAUAAGUUGGGCAGUCAAAAGGGAAAGAGCCCAGACCACCGGCUAAGGUCCCAAAGUGCGUGUUAAGUGGAAAAGGAUGUGGGAAUUCGAAGACAACUAGGAUGUUGGCUCAGAAGCAGCCAUACAUUCAAAGAGUGCGUAACAGCUCACUAGUCGAGAGUUCCUGCGCCGAAAAUGUCCGGGGCUGAAACACGACACCGAAGCCGUGGACUCGCAAUGCGAGUGGUAGAGGAGCAUUCUUAAAACCGACGAAGCUGUACCGAAAGGAGCAGUGGAGGGAUAAGAAGAGAGAAUGCCGGAAUGAGUAGCGAGAGAAAGGUGGGAAUCCUUUCGGCCGAAUAUCUAAGGUUUCCAGAGUAAAGCUGAUCUGCUCUGGGUAAGUCGGGGCCUAAGCACAGGUCGCAAGACGUAAGCGAUGGAUAACAGGUUUAGAUUCCUGUACCACGCAUUAUCAGAACUGUAGGGACGCAUGUGGAAAGCACGGGCCGGGAAUGGAAAGACCGGUACAAGCGGGGUAGGUGUACAAUAGGCAAAUCCGUUGUAUAAUCCGAAGACGUGAUGUGGAGCGAAAUAAAGUAGUGAAGCGUGUGAGCCAUGUGCCGAGAAAAGCUGCUAUUGUGUAAUGCGUGCCCGUACCGUAAACCGACACAGGUGGAUGAGGAGAGAAUCCUAAGGCCGACGGAAGAAGCAUUGUUAAGGAAUUCGGCAAAAUGACCCCGUAACUUCGGGAGAAGGGGUGCCUGCGAGAGCAGGCCGCAGAGAAUAGGCUCAAGCAACUGUUUAGCAAAAACACAGGUCUAUGCGAAACCGAAAGGUGAAGUAUAUGGCUGACGCCUGCCCGGUGCUGGAAGGUUAAGAGGAGAGGUUAGCUUCGGCGAAGCUUUGAAUUUAAGCCCCAGUAAACGGCGGCCGUAACUAUAACGGUCCUAAGGUAGCGAAAUUCCUUGUCGGGUAAGUUCCGACCCGCACGAAAGGCGUAAUGAUUUGAGCACUGUCUCGACAAUGCACCCGGUGAAAUUGAAGUACCAGUGAAGAUGCUGGUUACCUGCGCCAGGACGGAAAGACCCCAUGGAGCUUUACUCUAGUUUGGUACUGGGGUCCGGUAUUGCAUGUACAGGAUAGGUGGGAGACUGAGAAGUGUGAACGCCAGUUUGCACGGAGUCAUUGUUGGGAUACCACCCCUGCAGUAUUGGGCUUCUAACAGGUAGCCGUAAACCGGCUAAUGGACAAUGCCAGGCGGGGAGUUUGACUGGGGCGGUCUCGAAGGUCAAGUCGGAAGGGCGCUCAAAAGGGUUCCCUCAGAAAUGGGUU
rnacentral:rRNA from 1 species